AAACAAAUAGAGAGUGCAAGCGUUAGAGGGUCAAGUCAACUUUUAGUUCUCAUAGUAUACACACACAGGCAUAUUUAGUACUGGGCGAAUCGAGGGUUGAGUGUUUCUGUAAAUUCUGCGUGUUUUAAUGAGCGCGCGCUGAACAUUGUAGCGUUCAGAUUCAAACACUGGAGCGGAGGGAGUUGCCAUGGAAACGGGGCGAUCUCGCUGCUGUUUUCACUGCUUUCGAAAUGGUUUAGUGUUUUCGAACAAGUCCGAAAUCUUAACUGUUAUCAGAGGAGAUUCUUCUAGUGUUUGAUAGCCUUCUGCAUCCCAGAGUCUGAGCCAGCCUCCUUUCCAACAACAUCUCCAAGGCACACUGAACCAUAUGACUAGCAGGGAGGAACCUGUCAGCAAUCUACUUCACAGCCGUCAGUGAAAGCAGUUAACAGUUACAGACGUGUGUGUUGGAUCAGUGUCAGAUCUGAAUUCUGCAGGUUUCCUGGGAUGACCGUUGAGGAGAUCAGCACAUCAGAUGUUGUCCUGGACAGCUGUACCUACAGUACACCACACUGACUUCUUUGCAUGGAUUGCUGACUACUAAAAUUAUGUUCUAUGAAGGUAUUAUAGCAAACAUGAGAACCUGUGACAGUGCAAAUAUUGUAAUGAAUAGUCACACAUACAUUUUUUUAGUACUAACAAUAUGUUUGUUUUUUUACUAAUUCUCUACAGCAAACACAACACAACAGUUACACCAUUUCAUAUUCUGAGGUGCAAAAAUCCUAAUGUACACAUAAGAGAACAACAGUAUACAAGUGCUCAGUUU